AGCGAACGCUGGCGGCAGGCCUAACACAUGCCAGUCGAACGAACCUUUCGGGGUUAGUGGCGGACGGGUGAGUAACACGUGGGAACGUGCCUUUAGGUUCGGAAUAACUCAGGGAAACUUGUGCUAAUACCGAAUGUGCCCUUCGGGGGAAAGAUUUAUCGCCUUUAGAGCGGCCCGCGUCUGAUUAGCUAGUUGGUUGAGGUAAUGGCUCACCAAGGCGACGAUCAGUAGCUGGUCUGAGAGGAUGAUCAGCCACAUUGGGACUGAGACACGGCCCAAACUCCUACGGGAGGCAGCAGUGGGGAAUCUUGCGCAAUGGGCGAAAGCCUGACGCAGCCAUGCCGCGUGAAUGAUGAAGGUCUCAGGAUUGUAAAAUUCUUUCACCGGGGACGAUAAUGACGGUACCCGGAGAAGAAGCCCCGGCUAACUUCGUG
rnacentral:rRNA from 1 species